AUGGAGAGUUUGAUCCUGGCUCAGGACGAACGCUGGCGGCGUGCUUAACACAUGCAAGUCGAACGGAAAGGCCCGCUUGCGGGUACUCGAGUGGCGAACGGGUGAGUAACACGUGGGUGAUCUGCCUUGCACUCUGGGAUAAGCUUGGGAAACUGGGUCUAAUACCGGAUAUGACAACUUUUUGGAUAUUGUUGUGGAAAGCUUUUGCGGUAUGGGAUGAGCUCGCGGCCUAUCAGCUUGUUGGUGGGGUGAUGGCCUACCAAGCCGACGACGGGUAGCCGGCCUGAGAGGGUGACCGGCCACACUGGGACUGAGACACGGCCCAGACUCCUACGGGAGGCAGCAGUGGGGAAUUUUCCGCAAUGGGCGAAAGCCUGACGGAGCAAUACCGCGUGAGGGAAGACAGCCCUCCGGGUCGUAAACCUCUUUUCUUGGAGAAGAAUACAUGACGGUAUCCAAGGAAUAAGCAUCGGCUAACUCCGUGCCAGCAGCCGCGGUAAUACGGAGGGUGCAAGCGUUGUCCGGAUUUAUUGGGUUUAAAGGGUGCGUAGGUGGCCCGUUAAGUCCGGGGUGAAAGCCCACUGCUCAACAGUGGAACUGCCCUGGAUACUGGCGGGCUUGAGUCCAGACGAGGUUGGCGGAAUGGAAGCUGUAGCGGUGAAAUGCAUAGAUA
rnacentral:rRNA from 1 species